rnacentral:rRNA from 1 species
AUGCAGCUCGAGCGGACAGAUCGCGGUAGCUUGCUCCCUGAUGUUAGCGGCGGACGGGUGAGUAACACGUGGGUAACCUGCCUGUAAGACUGGGAUAACUCCGGGAAACCGGGGCUAAUACCGGAUGGUUGUUUGAACCGCAUGGUUCAAACAUAAAAGGUGGCUUCGGCUACCACUUACAGAUGGACCCGCGGCGCAUUAGCUAGUUGGUGAGGUAACGGCUCACCAAGGCAACGAUGCGUAGCCGACCUGAGAGGGUGAUCGGCCACACUGGGACUGAGACACGGCCCAGACUCCUACGGGAGGCAGCAGUAGGGAAUCUUCCGCAAUGGACGAAAGUCUGACGGAGCAACGCCGCGUGAGUGAUGAAGGUUUUCGGAUCGUAAAGCUCUGUUGUUAGGGAAGAACAAGUACCGUUCGAAUAGGGCGGUACCUUGACGGUACCUAACCAGAAAGCCACGGCUAACUACGUGCCAGCAGCCGCGGUAAUACGUAGGUGGCAAGCGUUGUCCGGAAUUAUUGGGCGUAAAGGGCUCGCAGGCGGUUUCUUAAGUCUGAUGUGAAAGCCCCCGGCUCAACCGGGGAGGGUCAUUGGAAACUGGGGAACUUGAGUGCAGAAGAGGAGAGUGGAAUUCCACGUGUAGCGGUGAAAUGCGUAGAGAUGUGGAGGAACACCAGUGGCGAAGGCGACUCUCUGGUCUGUAACUGACGCUGAGGAGCGAAAGCGUGGGGAGCGAACAGGAUUAGAUACCCUGGUAGUCCACGCYGUAAACGAUGAGUGCUAAGUGUUAGGGGGUUUCCGCCCCUUAGUGCUGCAGCUAACGCAUUAAGCACUCCGCCUGGGGAGUACGGUCGCAAGACUGAAACUCAAAG